UCCACUCUCACAAUUUCUUCAGCCCCUCAGGGGGCUUUUCCUCUCUCUCUCUCUCUCCCAUUGUCUUCCUGUUUUAGUUUCUCGAUCUUCCUCUACUCCACACAUAUUACAUAUACUCUUCCUACUGGUCCAAUUAUGGAAUCAGCCACCCCAAAGAAGCGAACCGCUAGCCUUCCGCCGAGGAGAGGCCUGAUCAAGGCUCAAAUUUUUGAGAGCCUUGCCGGAAACCUCUCCUCCGCCGCCGCAAAAGCCCUCACCAAAAUCAAACAGACCACUACCGCCUCCUCCACGUCAUCCUCCCCGCCGCCGAGCGCCUACACCUCCGACGGCGGCUACUCCGACCAGGCCUGACUGAUCUCCGGUGAAAUAGGCUUGUUUUUUCGCUGAUUUUCACCGGAUCGAGCUUAAAUAUCUGGUGUUGUUGGAGAUGAGAUCAGAAGUCCUGUGCCUUUUAACCAUGGCUUCUGACGAUUAAUACUCCGUGUGCGUGUGUGUGUUUAUAGAUAGGUUUAAAGUUGUGGUCCUCUUCCAGUAUUGUUUCUCAAGUUUUAGAUUGGAGAUGGUAUGUUGGCAAUAAGAGGAACUUUUUUCUGUAUAAACUCGAGUCCAGCAAGAACAGGAGAGGAAGAGGUGGGUUUGAUUGUUGCCGAUUAGUUAUUAGUCUAGUUUGAUUGUUGUUUGUGUUUUUGAGCAUAUAAUAAGCUCCUUCAUGGGUUUUUCUUCAUUUGGUUCUUUUCCCAUGUCGUAUCUGUUGAACCAAAUACUGGCUCUCGUUUCUUAUAAACGGAGCCUUCUUUCAAUACACAUUUCGUCUUUCUCUUUCUAAUUCUCUGUUUAAUUUUCUGUUUGCUUCGAUCCGCUUUUUUUUUUCUUUCGAGUUUUACCUUUUUCUUUCCUUGCAGUAAGACAGUAAAAUCCAAGGGAGAUCCAUCAUUGUUUUGUUUGUACAUUUGAAUCCCAUCUUAUGUGAUCAAGAAAUUUCUUUAUCUGGAUAA